UACGAAGGGGGCUAGCGUUGCUCGGAAUUACUGGGCGUAAAGGGCGCGUAGGCGGCCUUCUAAGUCGAACGUGAAAUCCCUGGGCUCAACCCAGGAACUGCGUCCGAUACUGGAAGGCUUGAAUCCGGGAGAGGGAUGCGGAAUUCCAGGUGUAGCGGUGAAAUGCGUAGAUAUCGAGAGGAACACCUGCGGCGAAGGCGGGUUGCUGGGCCGACACUGACGCUGAUGCGCGAAAGCCAGGGGAGCGAACGGG
rnacentral:rRNA from 1 species